rnacentral:rRNA from 1 species
CUAUCGCUUACAGAUGGGCCCGCGGUGCAUUAGCUAGUUGGUAGGGUAAUGGCCUACCAAGGCAACGAUGCAUAGCCGACCUGAGAGGGUGAUCGGCCACACUGGGACUGAGACACGGCCCAGACUCCUACGGGAGGCAGCAGUAGGGAAUCUUCCGCAAUGGACGAAAGUCUGACGGAGCAACGCCGCGUGUAUGAAGAAGGUUUUCGGAUCGUAAAGUACUGUUGUUAGAGAAGAACAAGGAUAAGAGUAACUGCUUGUCCCUUGACGGUAUCUAACCAGAAAGCCACGGCUAACUACGUGCCAGCAGCCGCGGUAAUACGUAGGUGGCAAGCGUUGUCCGGAUUUAUUGGGCGUAAAGCGCGCGCAGGCGGU